rnacentral:lncRNA from 1 species
CGCGGACCCCGAGAGCGGCGGCGCGACUCACCGCGGAGGCGCCCGGACGCGUCAAGUGCGUACUUUCAACCGUAAAUGGGUGCUGAGCGUUUAGGGGUGCGGGGCAACUCCCUAACUCGUGGGGCCCUGGCCGGCCCUGCCGCGGCGUCCGAGACCUUCUGAUCCCUCGCUGCGCGCGGCGCGGGGUUGGCGACUUGGGCUCAGGGGCGGCGGGGCGGGGAGGUGCCUUGACCUAGGGACCCAGAGGCCGGGAGCAAGUCUCCUUUCGCCUUGGACCGCAGUGUCCCCCAGGGCAAGGCCUGAACCAGGUCGCGAGGGUCUGUCUCCCGUCUGGGGAGCUGAACUGCCCGGGACACUGUCGCAGUCGCGGGGACUUGUCUGGAGCGGCGGGGUCUGAGCCCAAGUCCGAAGCCGCCGCCGCCAGCGUCCCGUGCGCCUGCCGCCCCGGGACCAGCCGCGAAACUUCUUCUCGGGACGGAGACAGCGCUCGCCGCCCGGGCCGAGACCCAGCCCAAUAGGAAGCACCUGAUCCACACUCUUUCUAGCCCCAGAGAUGCUCAGGAAAGCAGCUCUUCUUUAGGGCUGUCAUCUGUUCUGGGGAUCUGUUGCUGUUCCUUGGGCCCACAGAAUACACUCCAUACCUCGGGACUCCAUAAUAUUGGACAAGGCUGGAAGGCCCAUUUGGAUCCUGCAGCCUCUUGUGCAGGUGAGGACAGACCCAAGGUCCAGGCAAUGCUGGCCUUUGGAACACAGAACCUGGCUCAGUGACUGCCACUCCAGUUGUCU